rnacentral:rRNA from 1 species
AACGAACGCUGGCGGCGCGCCUAAUACAUGCAAGUCGAACGAGAAGGUGUAGCAAUACACUUGUACAGUGGCGAACGGGUGAGGAAUGCAUGGGCAACCUACCCUCGAGUGGGGAACAACCAGCCGAAAGGUUGGCUAAUACCGCGUACGCUUCCGGGUCUCCGGAUCCGGAAGGAAAGUCACACCGUGGGUGUGACGCUCAAGGAUGGGCUCAUGUCCUAUCAGCUUGUGGUGAGGUAACGGCUCACCAAGGCAACGACGGGUAGCUGGUCUGAGAGGACGAUCAGCCACACUGGCACUGCGACACGGGCCAGACUCCUACGGGAGGCAGCAGUAAGGAAUAUUGCGCAAUGGGCGAAAGCCUGACGCAGCGACGCCGCGUGGGGGA